rnacentral:rRNA from 1 species
CCUACGGGAGGCAGCAGUGGGGAAUCUUGCGCAAUGGGCGAAAGCCUGACGCAGCAACGCCGCGUGCGGGAAGAAGGCUUUCGGGCUGUAAACCGCUUUCAGCAGGAACGAAAAUGACGGUACCUGCAGAAGAAGGAGCGGCCAACUAUGUGCCAGCAGCCGCGGUGAUACAUAGGCUUCAAGCGUUGUCCGGAUUUAUUGGGCGUAAAGAGUUCGUAGGCGGUCGAGUAAGUCGGGUGUGAAAAUUCUGGGCUCAACCCAGAGACGCCACCCGAUACUGCUUGACUUGAGUUCGAUAGGGGAGUGGGGAAUUCCUAGUGUAGCGGUGAAAUGCGCAGAUAUUAGGAGGAACACCGGUGGCGAAGGCGCCACUCUGGAUCGAUACUGACGCUGAGGAACGAAAGCAUGGGUAGCAAACAGGAUUAGAUACCCUGGUAGUCCAUGCCGUAAACGGUGGGCACUAGGUGUGGGUUUCUAUUAACGAAAUCCGCGCCGUCGCUAACGCAUUAAGUGCCCCGCCUGGGGAGUACGUCGCGAGACGUAAACUACAANAGUAAGUUAGUACGGCGUUGUAGACGUUGCCGACGGCGACGACGAGGGAGGAGG